GACGAACGCUGGCGGCGUGCCUAAUACAUGCAAGUCGAGCGGAACUGGGGGAGCUUGCUCCUUCCAGUUUAGCGGCGGACGGGUGAGUAACACGUGGGCAACCUGCCCUGCAGAUCGGGAUAACUCCGGGAAACCGGUGCUAAUACCGAAUAGUUUGGCGCCUCUCCUGAGGCGCUACGGAAAGACGGUUUCGGCUGUCACUGCAGGAUGGGCCCGCGGCGCAUUAGCUAGUUGGUGGGGUAACGGCCCACUAAGGCGACGAUGCGUAGCCGAGCUGAAGGGGUGACCGGCCACACUGGGACUGAGACACGGCCCAGACUCCUACGGGAGGCAGCAGUAGGGAAGCUUCCGCAAUGGACGAAAGUCUGACGGAGCAACGCCGCGUGAGUGACGAAGGUUUUCGGAUCGUAAAACUCUGUUGUGAGGGAAGAACACGUACCAACUAACUAUUGGUACCUUGACGGUACCUCACCAGAAAGCCACGGCUAACUACGUGCCAGCCGCCGCGGUAA
rnacentral:rRNA from 1 species